rnacentral:tRNA from 1 species
AGCCCCGGCAGAAGUCAUUUGCUCUUAAAAGUUUGCAACUUUGCGUGCUGUACACCACAGGGCC